UGUGAGCUCGAUGAGUAGGGCGGGACACGUGGUAUCCUGUCUGAAUAUGGGGGGACCAUCCUCCAAGGCUAAAUACUCCUGACUGACCGAUAGUGAACCAGUACCGUGAGGGAAAGGCGAAAAGAACCCCGGCGAGGGGAGUGAAAAAGAACCUGAAACCGUGUACGUACAAGCAGUGGGAGCACAGAGCAAUCUGUGUGACUGCGUACCUUUUGUAUAAUGGGUCAGCGACUUAUAUUCUGUAGCAAGGUUAACCGAAUAGGGGAGCCGAAGGGAAACCGAGUCUUAACUGGGCGUUAAGUUGCAGGGUAUAGACCCGAAACCCGGUGAUCUAGCCAUGGGCAGGUUGAAGGUUGGGUAACACUAACUGGAGGACCGAACCGACUAAUGUUGAAAAAUUAGCGGAUGACUUGUGGCUGGGGGUGAAAGGCCAAUCAAACCGGGAGAUAGCUGGUUCUCCCCGAAAGCUAUUUAGGUAGCGCCUCGUGAAUUCAUCUCCGGGGGUAGAGCACUGUUUCGGCAAGGGGGUCAUCCCGACUUACCAACCCGAUGCAAACUGCGAAUACCGGAGAAUGUUAUCACGGGAGACACACGGCGGGUGCUAACGUCCGUCGUGAAGAGGGAAACAACCCAGACCGCCAGCUAAGGUCCCAAAGUCAUGGUUAAGUGGGAAACGAUGUGGGAAGGCCCAGACAGCCAGGAUGUUGGCUUAGAAGCAGCCAUCAUUUAAAGAAAGCGUAAUAGCUCACUGGUCGAGUCGGCCUGCGCGGAAGAUGUAACGGGGCUAAACCAUGCACCGAAGCUGCGGCAGCGACGCUUAUGCGUUGUUGGGUAGGGGAGCGUUCUGUAAGCCUGCGAAGGUGUGCUGUGAGGCAUGCUGGAGGUAUCAGAAGUGCGAAUGCUGACAUAAGUAACGAUAAAGCGGGUGAAAAGCCCGCUCGCCGGAAGACCAAGGGUUCCUGUCCAACGUUAAUCGGGGCAGGGUGAGUCGACCCCUAAGGCGAGGCCGAAAGGCGUAGUCGAUGGGAAACAGGUUAAUAUUCCUGUACUUGGUGUUACUGCGAAGGGGGGACGGAGAAGGCUAUGUUGGCCGGGCGACGGUUGUCCCGGUUUAAGCGUGUAGGCUGGUUUUCCAGGCAAAUCCGGAAAAUCAAGGCUGAGGCGUGAUGACGAGGCACUACGGUGCUGAAGCAACAAAUGCCCUGCUUCCAGGAAAAGCCUCUAAGCAUCAGGUAACAUCAAAUCGUACCCCAAACCGACACAGGUGGUCAGGUAGAGAAUACCAAGGCGCUUGAGAGAACUCGGGUGAAGGAACUAGGCAAAAUGGUGCCGUAACUUCGGGAGAAGGCACGCUGAUAUGUAGGUGAAGUCCCUCGCGGAUGGAGCUGAAAUCAGUCGAAGAUACCAGCUGGCUGCAACUGUUUAUUAAAAACACAGCACUGUGCAAACACGAAAGUGGACGUAUACGGUGUGACGCCUGCCCGGUGCCGGAAGGUUAAUUGAUGGGGUCAGCGCAAGCGAAGCUCUUGAUCGAAGCCCCGGUAAACGGCGGCCGUAACUAUAACGGUCCUAAGGUAGCGAAAUUCCUUGUCGGGUAAGUUCCGACCUGCACGAAUGGCGUAAUGAUGGCCAGGCUGUCUCCACCCGAGACUCAGUGAAAUUGAACUCGCUGUGAAGAUGCAGUGUACCCGCGGCAAGACGGAAAGACCCCGUGAACCUUUACUAUAGCUUGACACUGAACAUUGAGCCUUGAUGUGUAGGAUAGGUGGGAGGCUUGGAAGUGUGGACGCCAGUCUGCAUGGAGCCGACCUUGAAAUACCACCCUUUAAUGUUUGAUGUUCUAACGUUGACCCGUAAUCCGGGUUGCGGACAGUGUCUGGUGGGUAGUUUGACUGGGGCGGUCUCCUCCUAAAGAGUAACGGAGGAGCACGAAGGUUGGCUAAUCCUGGUCGGACAUCAGGAGGUUAGUGCAAUGGCAUAAGCCAGCUUGACUGCGAGCGUGACGGCGCGAGCAGGUGCGAAAGCAGGUCAUAGUGAUCCGGUGGUUCUGAAUGGAAGGGCCAUCGCUCAACGGAUAAAAGGUACUCCGGGGAUAACAGGCUGAUACCGCCCAAGAGUUCAUAUCGACGGCGGUGUUUGGCACCUCGAUGUCGGCUCAUCACAUCCUGGGGCUGAAGUAGGUCCCAAGGGUAUGGCUGUUCGCCAUUUAAAGUGGUACGCGAGCUGGGUUUAGAACGUCGUGAGACAGUUCGGUCCCUAUCUGCCGUGGGCGCUGGAGAACUGAGGGGGGCUGCUCCUAGUACGAGAGGACCGGAGUGGACGCAUCACUGGUGUUCGGGUUGUCAUGCCAAUGGCACUGCCCGGUAGCUAAAUGCGGAAGAGAUAAGUGCUGAAAGCAUCUAAGCACGAAACUUGCCCCGAGAUGAGUUCUCCCUGACUCCUUGA
rnacentral:rRNA from 1 species